rnacentral:rRNA from 1 species
AACGUAGGUUCCGAGCGUUAUCCGGAUUUACUGGGCGUAAAGCGCGUUCAGGCGGUUUGGCAAGUCGGGCAUGAAAUCCUUCGGCUCAACCGGGGGAGGUUGUCCGAUACUGCUGAACUGGAGGGCAGUAGAGGGUGGUGGAAUUCCGGGUGUAGUGGUGAAAUGCGUAGAGAUCCGGAGGAACACCAGUGGCGAAAGCGGCCACCUGGACUGCACCUGACGCUGAGGAGCGAAAGCCAGGGGAGCAAACGGG